UGCAAGCCACAAUGUGGUUACUGGGAAUUGACCUCAGGACCUCCGUAAGAGCAAUCAGUGCUCUUAACUAUUGAGCCAUCUCUCCAGCCCCUCCAAAAAUAUUUAUAUUACUACGUAUAAUAGUAGCAAAGUUAUAAUUAUAAAAUAACAAAAAUCAUCUUAUAGUUGGGGUCACCACAACAUGAAGAACUAUAUUAAAGGGUCACAACAUUAGGAAGGUUGACAACCACUGAAUUAAGUGGUAUGCAUAUUUGCAAUAUUGUACAUUUGGUGUUUGCUUCCAAAACAUUUUAAUUGUCCCAAAGGGGAAGUGUAGACUCAUGAUACAUUUAUUCCUUACUUUGCCUUCCCCAGUCCUUGGCAACCACUAAUCUUUCUGUCUCUGUGGAUUUACCUAUUUUUAGUGUUUCAUAUAAGUAGAAUUAUAAAAUAAUACAGUCUUUUGUUUCUGCCUUCUUAGAAUGAUUUUGAGACUGUUCUUCCAUAUUAUAGUAUCUACCAUUACUUAAUAUCUUAUGACCAAAGAAUACUCCAUUAUAUGAAGCUAUCACAUUUGUUUAAUCAUUUGUUAGUUGGUGGAUUUUUUGUUAUGUUUUGAGACAGCGCCUCCCUUAGUAGCCCAAGCUGGCUUGGAGCUUCCUCAGUACUUCAGCCUACCCUCAAACUUGCAGUCUGUCUUCCUGCCCCAGCGUCUCUAGUGCUAAGAUUACAGGGGUAAGCCACCACAACCAGCCAAUUGUUGGAUUUUUAGAUUGUUUCCGAUUUUUGGUUAUUAUGAAUAAUAUUAUGACUGUACUGAUAUGAAGUAAUUCCUUUGACUACCUUCAAUUUUCUUGGAUGUACCUAGGAAUAGAAUUUUUAGGUUAUUAGAUAAUUUUGUUUAGCCUUUUUGAAUUGCUGCUAAACUUUUCACAGUGGCUAUAUAGUUUGCAUUUCCACUAGCAAUACAUCAGGGUGUGCAAUUUCUAUACAUCGUUGUCAACACUGGCUCCUUUGCAUGUUAGUUUAUUCAUAGCUAUCCUACUGGAUAUACGUGGUAACUCAUUGUGGUUUUAAUUUGUAUUUCUUCAGUGACUAAUGGUACCAGAUGUCUGUCGUUCCAUGUCUUUAUAUAUCUUCUUUGGAGAAAUCUCUUCACAUCGUUUUCAAAAUGAGUCUUUUAUGACAUUCACUUUUAAGAUUUCUUUAGAUAUUUUGGAUAUGUGACUGCUAUACAUUUUUUGCAAAUAUCAUUUCCUGUUUCAUAAGCUGUCACACUUCCCUAUGGUUUAUGUGUGUUUUCACUUUUGGAGGAGUGAGUUGAAUAUUCUUUUCUUUUUUUUUUUUUUGUUACAUGUGGUUUUGAAGUCAUAUUAAGCAAGUUUUUGAAGAAAAAUUAUAGCUGGUGGUUGAUAAAAGGGAAUUUCAAGCUGCUAUUUAAAAAUGUAUUUGAUUUUUCCUUUCCCAACUAAUUUCAUCAUUCCUCAUAGGAAUCCAGGCAUGAUAAAGAAAAGAUAGAAAAGAAAGAAAAACGGGAUAGUUCAGGAGGAAAGGAAGAGAAGAAACAAUAUCCUUUUCAUUUUUAUAUUUCACUCGCUGUAGUAGAAGAAUUUGGUACUAUUCAUGUUUAGAAUGAAACCUUUCUUCUGUGUGAUCUAAAUAUGCAGGGGCUUAUUAGCUUUAAAGUGAUAUCUGUAGUUAACUGUCAGUUUAUAAUCUGAAAACAGGAGGUUUGAUCUUCAUGACUUUUAAAAAAAAUGAUUCUGUAGUGAUGGAGAUGUUUUAUGACAAAAGUUGUAUAGGCUCCCUUUUGUAUUGUUACC
rnacentral:lncRNA from 1 species